CUCAAUCUCCUGGAUGAGAGGAACUCGAAUAUAUCCUUGCAUGCAUCAUCAGAGCACUAUUUGGGUGAUCCACCAUUGAAGCCGAGAGCUUCAAGCUUCCAUUGCUCAAACCCAGAUGAGGGUUUCGGAUGGGGAGAUGUCAAGCUCAGCACAUGCACUGAUGCCGCACAUCAGCCAUACGUCACACAACCCUCAGGCUCUCGGGCGAGCGAUUCCUACCGGGCCUCUCCCUCGGGCCUGCUCGGGCUCCCUGGCCAGCACACACUGGACCACCUUCCUCGGGCUAUCUGGCCCUGUUUGAGAGCCAGUCCAUCGGGCUAUUGCCAACGGUGGAACUGCUCU